CGCCCGCAAGACUAGCUUGUCGCUGCCACCGGACUGCGAGAUGUCGAGAUGUAGGGUUUUGUGUUUGUGCGGCGCCCCGGCGCAGGUGCGGCCGCGAGUGGGCAGUCGGGGAACGCUCCGCUAGGGUUAGGAGGUCCUGGAACCAGUUCCUCUAGCAUAUAACGAUAGACAGCAGAGGGACGGUACCUACGGCCGAUGACGUCCGUUGGGCAUGCAACGGCACGCCGAAACAAACACGGAAGCCGUCCAAUUCUUGCGUUGGCCCAUAGAAUCGAUGCGGCCCAUAUUCAGGAAGCGCAAAAGGGAAAGGAUACAGAGUGCUCCGGGCACUCGCCGCCGCCGCCGCGCCCGUGAUGGCCAUCGGCCAGCUGUUGCUGCUCGCGACCUCCCCCGGCGCUGGAGCAGGCAAGCAGGUGCCCGUGCAAGUUCUCUCCUCCAUCGCCCUCAUCCUCCGCAAAGGAACCGAGUGCUCCAGGCACUCGCCGCCGCUACAGUGCCCGUGAAG
rnacentral:lncRNA from 1 species